rnacentral:rRNA from 1 species
UACGUAGGUGGCAAGCGUUGUCCGGAUUACUGGGCGUAAAGAGCGCGCAGGCGGUCGUUCAAGUCGCGUGUGAAAGCCCCCCGGCUCAACUGGGGAGGGUCACGCGAUACUGAUCGACUCGAAGGCAGGAGAGGGUAGUGGAAUUCCCGGUGUAGUGGUGAAAUGCGUAGAUAUCGGGAGGAACACCAGUGGCGAAGGCGACUACCUGGCCUGUUCUUGACGCUGAGGCGCGAAAAGCGUGGGGAGCGAACAGG